ensembl:snoRNA SNORA70 Small nucleolar RNA SNORA70
AGGAAAACAUUUUAAGUCCAAACAAUUUUCAGAAAAAUAAUUUUGCGCCAUGGCUACAAACAGGAGCCUCCCUGGUAAUGCAUGCAGCCUGUUGAUUGUAUGGGUUGCCUUAAGGGACCUUGGAGACAUCC